rnacentral:rRNA from 1 species
ACACACAUUUGNACCAAAAANACCCUUCCCUAGGGGGACCUGSGGAAGGAUCAUUAUNGUCAAAAUGUGUGAGGCAUGCAAGGGCUGUCGYUGACCUUUAACACAAAGCCGUCCACCCCGGGGNGUGUCCUCUCACAUAAAAUCCAUCUCACCCUUUUGUGCACCACCGCGUGGGCCCCCUUCGGGAUCGAACCGRUCCAGGAGGGGGCUCGCGUUUUCACACAAACCCCCUUUUAAAAGUGUAGAAUGACCUUGUUUUUGCGAUAACACGCAAUCAAUACAACUUUCAACAACGGAUCUCUUGGCUCUCGCAUCGAUGAAGAACGCAGCGAAAUGCGAUACGUAAUGUGAAUUGCAGAAUUCAGUGAAUCAUCGAAUCUUUGAACGCACCUUGCGCCCCUUGGUAUUCCGAGGGGCACACCCGUUUGAGUGUCGUGAAAAUCUCAACCUUCUCGGUUUCUUCUGGACACCGAAGGAGGCUUGGACUUUGGAGGCCUUUGCUGGCGUCUCUCUUUUUUUGAGAGAGAGAGCCAGCUCCUCUUAAACGAAUUAGCGGGGUCCUCUUUGCUGAUCCUCGACAUGUGAUAAGAUGUUUCCAUGUCUUGGUUUCUGGCUCUGUUGCUUUUGGGACCCGCUUCUAACUGUCUCAACUUCGCAUCGAGAAGACGUUUGAGCGUGUCUCCCUUCUCGGGGAACACUCUCAACCUCUGAAAACGUGACUCAA